GAUGAAGAACGUAGCGAAAUGCGAUAAGUAAUGUGAAUUGCAGAAUUCAGUGAAUCAUCGAAUCUUUGAACGCACAUUGCGCCCGCCAGUAUUCUGGCGGGCAUGCCUGUUCGAGCGUCAUUUCAACCCUCAAGACCCCUUCGGGGGACUUGGUGUUGGGGACCGGCACAGGGGCCUGCCUGCUUGUCUUGCAGCGCCCUCGCCGCCCCCGAAAUGAAUUGGCGGCCUCGUCGCGGCCUCCCCUGCGUAGUAGCACAAACCUCGCAACGGGAACGUGACGGCGGCCACUGCCGUAAAACAACCCAAUUUUAUUUGAGUUGACCUCGAAUCAGGUAGGAAUACCCGCUGAACUUAAGCAUAUCAAUAAGCGGAGGA
rnacentral:misc_RNA from 1 species